rnacentral:rRNA from 1 species
UGCGCAGGCGGAAUGAUUAGUCAGUGGUGAAAGCCCUCGGCUCAACCGAGGAACUGCCAUUGAUACUGUCAUUCUUGAGUACAGUUGUAGUGGGCGGAAUGUGUCAUGUAGCGGUGAAAUGCAUAGAGAUGACACAGAACACCGAUCGCGAAGGCAGCUCACUAAGCUGAAACUGACGCUCAGGCACGAAAGCGUGGGUAGCAAACAGGAUUAGAUACCCUGGUAGUC